GAUGAACGCUAGCGGCAGGCUUAAUACAUGCAAGUCGUGGGGCAGCAGGUUUGUAGCAAUACAGAUGCUGGCGACCGGCAAAACGGGUGCGGAACACGUACAGAACCUUCCUUUGAGCGGGGAAUAGCCCAGAGAAAUUUGGAUUAAUACCCCAUAGUAUAAUGAAGUGGCAUCACUUUAUUAUUAAAGAUUUAUCACUCGAAGAUGGCUGUGCGGCUGAUUAGGUAGUUGGCGGGGUAAAGGCCCACCAAGCCUGCGAUCAGUAACUGGUGUGAGAGCACGACCAGUCACACGGGCACUGAGACACGGGCCCGACUCCUACGGGAGGCAGCAGUAAGGAAUAUUGGUCAAUGGAGGCAACUCUGAACCAGCCAUGCCGCGUGGAGGAUGAAGGUCCUCUGGAUUGUAAACUUCUUUUAUAUGGGACGAAAAAGGCUUUUCUAAGUCGUCUGACGGUACCAUAUGAAUAAGCACCGGCUAACUCCGUGCC
rnacentral:rRNA from 1 species